ACAACGGAUCUCUUGGUUCUCGCAUCGAUGAAGAACGCUUCGAAAUGCGAUAAGUAAUAUGAAUUGCAGAUUUUCGUGAAUCAUCUAAUCUUUGAACGCACAUUGCGCCCUCUGGUAUUCCAAAGGGCAUGCCUGUUUGAGCGUCAUUUCUCUCUCAAACCCCCGGGUUUGGUAUUGAGUGAUACUCUUAUUCGGACUAGGCGUUUGCUUGAAAAGUAUUGGCAUGGGUAGUACUAGAUAGUGCUGUCGACCUCUCAAUGUAUUAGGUUUAUCCAACUCGUUGAAUGGUGUGGCGGGAUAUUUCUGGUAUUGUUGGCCCGGCCUUACAACAACCAAUCAAGUUUGACCUCAAAUCAUGUAGGAAUACCCGCUGAACUUAAU
rnacentral:rRNA from 1 species